UACGGAGGGUGCAAGCGUUAAUCGGAAUUACUGGGCGUAAAGCGUGCGCAGGCGGUUUGUUAAGUCCGUUGUGAAAGCCCCGAGCUCAACUUGGGAAUUGCAGUGGAUACUGGCAGGCUGGAGUACGGUAGAGGAAGGUGGAAUUCCCGGUGUAGCAGUGAAAUGCGUAGAUAUCGGGAGGAACACCAGUGGCGAAGGCGGUUCUCUGGGCCUUACCUGACGCUGAGGAGCGAAAGCGUGGGGAGCGAACAGG
rnacentral:rRNA from 1 species